ACUUCAAGAAGACAUUGACAAACAGACACCCGUACAUGAUGGCCUAUCCCUAAUUAUCUCUCUGUGCACCAUCAUUUUUCAAACUGUAGACACAUACAUGUACUGUUAGCUCUGUCCCAGUUCCAACACUACCAAGAGUAUCUCAAGUAUAUGCAGACCACAUUUGCCCUGCGAUCCCAGGGCAUAGUCAACCUGUGAAGGAGUUCCUUGAUCGCAGGUAAAAUUGUAUGGCAGUUUUUUUUACACAAGUAUGACAUGCUUUAAUAUAUUAGUUAUAGUGUGUUGCCGAAAUUGUGAUAAUACUGCUAAAUACUGUCCUUUUGCGGUCUGUCAUUUCCAAGUGUUAGCUGUAUGCAGAGUUCUGCCGAAUCAGGGACCAGAACUUGCCGAACUUCUUCUAUGCUGCACUCGACUGUCACUUUUACCAACAGACUGCGUCCAAGACUGGAAGGAUCGCUUACGCUUUGGGUGACAUUCUGAGGUGUCAUGAUCUAGGAUAUGGGAACUACAUGAUGUUCUCCACUGUUCUCUGUGCUCGUCCUGUGUUGCUGCGUGAGGAAGUCUUAGGAGUUUUCAAAACACGCAAGGGGGAGGACUCCCGAGGAGCCAGAUAUUGUUGACACACCGGUAUCCCUACUUACAAUUGCCAGUGACAACACCAAAAAUGUCAUCUAAGUCCAUUAGUGUCAAGAACUCCAUUUUCCUGGAGAGUGAAGUUGUGGUGACCGACCUCCCCAGACUGGCUGACACUUAACUGGUAAUGUUCGGUCUGAUCUGUGCUCUACAUCUCAGUUAGAUUGUUACCCAGAAAGGAUUAGAUAUUGAUAUGAA